GAGUUUGAUCUUGGCUCAGGACGAACGCUGGCGGCGUGCCUAAUACAUGCAAGUCGAACGCUUUUUUCAAUCAUCGUAGCUUGCUACACCGAUUGAAAAUUGAGUGGCGAACGGGUGAGUAACACGUGGGUAACCUGCCCAAAAGAGGGGGAUAACACUUGGAAACAGGUGCUAAUACCGCAUAACCAUGAUGACCGCAUGGUCAUUAUGUAAAAGAUGGUUUCGGCUAUCACUUUUGGAUGGACCCCGCGGCGUAUUAACUUGUUGGUGGGUAACGGCCUACCAAGGUAAUGAUACGUAGCCGAACUGAGAGGUUGAUUGGCCACAUUGGGACUGAGACACGGCCCAAACUCCUACGGGAGGCAGCAGUAGGGAAUCUUCCACAAUGGGCGCAAGCCUGAUGGAGCAACGCCGCGUGAGUGAAGAAGGUCUUCGGGAUCGGUAAAACUCUGUUGUUAGAGAAGAACAUGCAGGGAGUAACUGUUCUUGUAUUGACGGUAUCUAAACCAGAAAGCC
rnacentral:rRNA from 1 species